GACGAACGCUGGCGGCGUGCUUAGCACAUGCAAGUCGAACGGAAAGGCCCUGCUUUUGUGGGGUGCUCGAGUGGCGAACGGGUGAGUAACACGUGAGUAACCUGCCCUUGACUUUGGGAUAACUUCAGGAAACUGGGGCUAAUACCGGAUAGGAGCUCCUGCUGCAUGGUGGGGGUUGAAAAGUUUCGGCGGUUGGGGAUGGACUCGCGGCUUAUCAGCUUGUUGGUGGGGUAGUGGCUUACCAAGGCUUUGACGGGUAGCCGGCCUGAGAGGGUGACCGGCCACAUUGGGACUGAGAUACGGCCCAGACUCCUACGGGAGGCAGCAGUGGGGAAUAUUGCACAAUGGGCGGAAGCCUGAUGCAGCAACGCCGCGUGCGGGAUGACGGCCUUCGGGUUGUAAACCGCUUUCGCCUGUGACGAAGCGUGAGUGACGGUAAUGGGUAAAGAAGCACCGGCUAACUACGUGCCAGCAGCCGCGGUGAUACGUAGGGUGCGAGCGUUGUCCGGAUUUAUUGGGCGUAAAGGGCUCGUAGGUGGUUGAUCGCGUCGGAAGUGUAAUCUUGGGGCUUAACCCUGAGCGUGCUUUCGAUACGGGUUGACUUGAGGAAGGUAGGGGAGAAUGGAAUUCCUGGUGGAGCGGUGGAAUGCGCAGAUAUCAGGAGGAACACCAGUGGCGAAGGCGGUUCUCUGGGCCUUUCCUGACGCUGAGGAGCGAAAGCGUGGGGAGCGAACAGGCUUAGAUACCCUGGUAGUCCACGCUGUAAACGGUGGGUACUAGGUGUGGGGUCCAUUCCACGGGUUCCGUGCCGUAGCUAACGCUUUAAGUACCCCGCCUGGGGAGUACGGCCGCAAGGCUAAAACUCAAAGGAAUUGACGGGGCCCCGCACAAGCGGCGGAGCAUGCGGAUUAAUUCGAUGCAACGCGUAGAACCUUACCUGGGUUUGACAUGGAUCGGGAGCGCUCAGAGAUGGGUGUGCCUCUUUUGGGGUCGGUUCACAGGUGGUGCAUGGCUGUCGUCAGCUCGUGUCGUGAGAUGUUGGGUUAAGUCCCGCAACGAGCGCAACCCUUGUUCACUGUUGCCAGCACGUUAUGGUGGGGACUCAGUGGAGACCGCCGGGGUCAACUCGGAGGAAGGUGGGGAUGACGUCAAGUCAUCAUGCCCCUUAUGUCCAGGGCUUCACGCAUGCUACAAUGGCUGGUACAGAGAGUGGCGAGCCUGUGAGGGUGAGCGAAUCUCGGAAAGCCGGUCUCAGUUCGGAUUGGGGUCUGCAACUCGACCUCAUGAAGUCGGAGUCGCUAGUAAUCGCAGAUCAGCAACGCUGCGGUGAAUACGUUCCCGGGGCU
rnacentral:rRNA from 1 species